CACCGACGCACGCGCACAGACACACACGCAUCCACAGACAUCGCAGUCACAUACAUACGUACCGACAUACACGCACCGACACGCUCACGCACAGACACACACACACAGCUCAAUGCGACCAUCAGCCUCAGUCGCUCACGAAUAUAUCCGCCGGUGUCACACACACACACACCGCAUGCCCAAUGCAACACAUCCACACGCCGGCGGCUGCAUUUUCUCGCUCUAUUAAUAGCAUAACAUCAUCAUCAUUGUGACGAUCAUCAUCAUCGUGACGCAAUAGCAAACCGUGGUAAAUAACAAGAGCGAUAGCAUUCACAUAGCGCGCACUACAGCGAUCACCAUCAGCCCAGGUCUGCAAUGGCGACUCCACGGCGAGCUACCUUGGACAGCAGCAGCAGCAGGAGGAGGAAGAUCUGAAGUCCGCAUGUCCCUUUGGGCAUCAUCGUCUGACCGGACGUCACAUGUCCUGUCAGCCAGUAAGCCAGCAAAACUUCAACAACAAAAAAUCAGGAAGGAGAGCGAGAGAGGGAAGGACUCCGGGUGGUGCAGGAUGACUCGAGUCCGUGGUCCGGGCGAGAGUUGGAGACUCAUCAACCACGACCCGUGACCCUGGGCACGAUCUCUCCACCGGGCACGAUCUCUCCACCGGGCACGAUCUCUCCACCGGGCACGAUCUCUCCACCGGGCACGAUCUCUCCACCGGGCACGAUCUCUCCACCGGGCACGAUCUCUCCACCGGGCACGAUCUCUCCACCGGGCACGAUCUCUCCACCGGGCACGAUCUCUCCACCGCGACUGCUGCCACCAAUAUCUCGGCUCUACCUUUUGUAAUUGCGACACCGAUUUCUGCCACUACCGCUGCAACUGAUAUCGCGAUUAUUAUUGCUGCUGCUGCUACUACCGCAACGGCCUCCGCUACUACUGCAACUACUGUCGCACGACUGCAAUAACAACUGCUCCUGCUGCAACUGCUGCAACUGCUGCCGCUACUACUACUACUACCGCAGCAGAUACUAAUACUGUGAAAGCUGUUACAUCUGUUACCGAUACGACUGCUGCCGCUCCUGCUGCAACACCGACUGCGGGAUAAGAAACUGCCGGAAAGUUUAGGAAAUUCUCCCCGUCGCCCCUUUCAACCAAGCAAGCAACUCGCCCUGCUUCCAAUCCCUCCACCCAAUCUUCCCUCCCUCUCCCUCUGUUCCUCCAUCCUUUUAUCACUAUCCCUCAAUCCCUCCAUCCCCCUCUCUCCCUGCAUCCACCAUCCAUCCCGCCCCUCAAUCCAUCCCUCCAUCCCC